rnacentral:pre_miRNA from 1 species
AUUAGGGAAGCGGUAUACAGGGAAGGAGGCCGGGGCGUACGUGCCCCGGCCUCCUUCCCUGUGUGCCGCAGA